rnacentral:ncRNA from 1 species
UUUAUUUUUAACAAAUACGCUUUCUAAAAAUACAAUCAUUUUUUAAAAAACAGAUUUAUAAAUUUUCAUAAGUGAGGCUUGGCUCUGACUUAAUAACAUAAUAAUAGCAAAAAAAUACACAUGGUUUUUAUGGAUAGCGGUGAGGUUAAAAAUUUAAUAACAUUUAUUAAAAAAAUUAGUGUUAUUAAGUUUUUACAGUAUUAUAUUUGAAAUGACACUAAGAUUGUACCACUAUACACCAGUGUUAAACAUUAAGAAAGAAGCGAAAGCUUGCAUUAGAUGAGCUAAGAGAUUUGGUUAACUUGGUGCCAGCAUCCGCGGUUAGACCAAGAAAUCAAGUUAUGUAAAAUAGGUAAAAAGAUAGUUAGAUAAGAUAAGAAAGUUUUAAGACUCUUUGUUUAAAAGUAAAAUUUGAAUAUAAAGAAGUAUUUUAAUUAAAACUAAUAUAUUGAAGCUAUGAUAUUUUAGAUAAAAACUAGGAUUAGAUGCCCUAUUAUUCUAAACUUUAAAUUGAUUAUUUAUCUACCUGAGUACUACGAGUCCAAAAACUUAAAACUCAAAGAGCUUGGCGGUACUCCACACCUUUCAGGGGAACCUGUCUCAUAAUCGACAAUCCACGUGAAACCUUACCUUUUCUUGUUUAAUCAGUUUGUAUACCGUCGUCGUCCAGGCAACUUUUUAAAAUAUAGAAGUUGACAAAAGAGAGUUUUUAAUCUUAGACGUCAGAUCAAGGUGCAGCCUAUGAAGAGGAGAGGAUGGGUUACAAUUAAAAUUUAUAAUUACGAAUUAGAAUAUUGAAUAAUCUAACGAAGGAGGACUUGAAAGUAAAAAUUCUUAUAUAAAUUUUUUGAAUUUGGCUCUGGAGUGUGCACACAUCGCCCGUCGCUCUCGUUGAAAAAUGAGAUAAGUCGUAACAUAGUAGGGGUAAUGGAAAUUGUCCCUGGAUG